CUUUCUGCAUGCCUGCUUCAGGGCCAACUUGAACUUCAAAGGGGCUAAGAGAAAAGGAACAGAAAAAGCAUUAAAGAAGAACAAAGAAGAGACUACAAACAGCCAUAAGUUGUUUGCACAUAUUUUUUCCACUCCUUUUACCUACAGUCCCAAUGUCUAUCUAGCCAACCCCUUCCUCCACACAGGUGCCCCCACGGUCAUUGUUAUGUCAACAAUAUAAAGGACUGUGGCUGCCUCGGGGCACUCAGGUGGCCACUGGGUGGGCACUCAAGACACACUGCCUUGCAAUAUCCUUCUGAUCAUUCACCCUUGAAUGUAGACCUCACCAGACUGUGAGCUCUGGAUGUAAUUCCACAGUGUUCUUCCCCUGGGGAUCCUCCACUUCAACACCAAUGUCACCCACACCGGCACCUAGGAGAGAACAAGCAUUCUGUGAGCCCAGGUCACCUUGUCAGAACACUCACUAUGGAUGAGCUCAGGUACAAGAUGGAGACCGAAGGAGACAGGUACUCUGAAGGUCAAAGUCCACGCCAAGACGCAAACAACUGUUUUCUGGUUGGGGGAGGAGGGUCAUAAACUUUCCUUUUCUCCCAUUC